AGAGUUUGAUCCUGGCUCAGGAUGAACGCUGGCGGCGUGCCUAACACAUGCAAGUCGAACGAAGCUUGACGAAUGAUUUCUUCGGAAUGAAUUCUGAUAUGACUUAGUGGCGGACGGGUGAGUAACACGUGAGCAACCUGCCUUUCAGAGGGGGAUAACGGCUGGAAACGGUCGCUAAUACCGCAUGAUAUGUUUGGAUGGCAUCAUCUGAACAUCAAAGAUUUAUCGCUGAAAGAUGGGCUCGCGUCUGAUUAGAUAGUUGGUGAGGUAACGGCUCACCAAGUCGACGAUCAGUAGCCGGACUGAGAGGUUGAACGGCCACAUUGGGACUGAGAUACGGCCCAGACUCCUACGGGAGGCAGCAGUGGGGAAUAUUGCACAAUGGGGGAAACCCUGAUGCAGCAACGCCGCGUGAAGGAAGACGGUUUUCGGAUUGUAAACUUCUUUUCUUUGUGAAGAAACAAAUGACGGUAGCAAAGGAAUAAGCAUCGGCUAACUACGUGCCAGCAGCCGCGGUAAUACGUAGGAUGCAAGCGUUAUCCGGAUUUACUGGGUGUAAAGGGAGCGCAGGCGGGAAGACAAGUUGGAAGUGAAAUCCAUGGGCUCAACCCAUGAACUGCUUUCAAAACUGUUUUUCUUGAGUAGUGCAGAGGUAGGCGGAAUUCCCGGUGUAGCGGUGGAAUGCGUAGAUAUCGGGAGGAACACCAGUGGCGAAGGCGGCCUACUGGGCACCAACUGACGCUGAGGCUCGAAAGUGUGGGUAGCAAACAGGAUUAGAUACCCUGGUAGUCCACACCGUAAACGAUGAUUACUAGGUGUUGGAGGAUUGACCCCUUCAGUGCCGCAGUUAACACAAUAAGUAAUCCACCUGGGGAGUACGACCGCAAGGUUGAAACUCAAAGGAAUUGACGGGGGCCCGCACAAGCAGUGGAGUAUGUGGUUUAAUUCGACGCAACGCGAAGAACCUUACCAAGUCUUGACAUCCUGCGACGGACAUAGAAAUAUGUCUUUCCUUCGGGACGCAGAGACAGGUGGUGCAUGGUUGUCGUCAGCUCGUGUCGUGAGAUGUUGGGUUAAGUCCCGCAACGAGCGCAACCCUUAUGGUCAGUUACUACGCAAGAGGACUCUGGCCAGACUGCCGUUGACAAAACGGAGGAAGGUGGGGAUGACGUCAAAUCAUCAUGCCCUUUAUGACUUGGGCUACACACGUACUACAAUGGCGUUAAACAAAGAGAAGCAAGACCGCGAGGUGGAGCAAAACUCAGAAACAACGUCCCAGUUCGGACUGCAGGCUGCAACUCGCCUGCACGAAGUCGGAAUUGCUAGUAAUCGCAGAUCAGCAUGCUGCGGUGAAUACGUUCCCGGGCCUUGUACACACCGCCCGUCACACCAUGAGAGCCGGGGGGACCCGAAGUCGGUAGUCUAACCGCAAGGAGGACGCCGCCGAAGGUAAAACUGGUGAUUGGGGUGAAGUCGUAACAAGGUAGCCGUAGGAGAACCUGCGGCUG
rnacentral:rRNA from 1 species